AUAAGAAGAAGAAAAGGAAGCUCGAUGCAGUGCAGCUUCGAUUCAAUGCGUCUUUCUGGCUGUAAAGUUGUUUUUAGGUUCCGCCGCUUUUUUGCCGAGUUUUGGCUCUUCUGCCUUGCAUUCAACAUGUAUCACAACAGCUCUCAGAAGAAAUUCUGGACUUACGAUAAAGAGGAAAAAUUAGAUAAAUUAAGACUAGAAGCUAAUCGGAAGUUUUGUUUAAAAGGCAUGUCCAGUGGUAAGCCUGAAUCCAUGUUUCUUGAUGCACAAGAAGAGAAAGUGCUUUUCAGACACUAUGAGAAUAGAUUGCUAGACUUCUGCGCUAUGUUCAAGCCUGCGAUGCCUAAAACUGUUGUGGGCACAGCUUGUAUGUAUUUUCGAAGAUUCUAUUUGAACAACUCUUUAAUGGAGUAUCACCCUCGGACAAUAAUGUUGACAUGUGCAUAUCUCUCCUGUAAAGUGGAUGAGUUUAAUGUGUCCUGCACUCAGUUUGUGGGGAACCUUCAGGAGAGCCCUGCAGGACAGGAGAGGGCUCUAGAACAGAUUCUGGAGUAUGAGCUGCUUCUCAUCCAGCAGCUCAGUUUUCACCUGGUUGUUCACAAUCCUUAUCGGCCCUUGGAGGGCUUUCUAAUUGACCUGAAGACCAGAUACCCAUUGUUAGAAAACCCAGAGAUGCUGAGAAAGAGUGCAGAAGACUUUCUCAACAGAGCAGCAGUGACGGAUGCCGGGCUCCUCUUCUCUCCGUCUCAGAUCGGCCUCACUGCCAUCCUCAACAGUGCUGCACGUGCCGGCCUCAAGAUGGAGGCAUAUUUGACCGAAUGCAUGGGGCUUAAGGAGGAUAAAGAGACCCUAUCAAAGAUGUAUGAGUCAAUGAGACGAAUAACUAGCCUUAUUAAAGCAUACGAGCUUCCCAAAGCUGAGGAGGUCAAUACCUGCAAACAGAAACUGGAAAGGAUUCAUGCUGAAUUCGCUACAAACUUGACAUGGCACGAUGGUUAAUCCAGACUUGUACUAUGGUAAUCACUGAUUACAAUGAUGUAUAUCAGAGUACCAUGGUAUCGCCAUCUCCACUGUGCACUGGUACCGCCGCCGUACAGGACAAAGCAUCUACUUGUCAAAUCGACCAAACCAAAGGACAUUAUAAAAACAUAAACUGGAGAUAAGUUUUGAGGCUUUACAUAAUUCAAGGAGUAAUAAUAUUACAUCAAGAAACAGCCAAAUUAACUGAGUUUGGUAAACACAAACAGGCUGAUAUAAUAAAAUAAUAUGAUAUAGUUUUCUAGUCAGUAGGUAUUGAUGGUUGACUCUUUUGUGAUGUGAAAUAAACCAGGAAGCCCAUAAUCUACUUGCCCCAUUCUGGGGAAAAGCUUUAAAAUGAAUAUGAGCUGAAGUUUGUUGCUAUUGUAGGUUAGGUGGAAGAACAGGGGCCAGGUUAUUGAAAGUGGACGCAUGCACCAGCCUUGUGUAAUCUAUCCUCCAAAAUUGAAUCGGUCUCACUGCUCAUGUAUCACAUACAAACACUGGUUUGGAGAUAAAAGCCAGGAUGCAGCAUCUUGUCAAGCGAAGCAGCUCAGAAGGAAAAGAAAACAUGGAUAUGAAGAUGAUGAUCACGUCGUGAAAAGGCAGAUGGUUGCUGAGGAAGAGUGGACUGAUGAGGAUUUGGAUGCAUUGUGAUGAUGAAAGUGUUUUUAAAUUGGCAACAUCCUCGACAGUUAUUUCAUGAGCAGGUUUAGUUAUUCCAUUUGCCAUCACUGACAGAGGAUGCAAUUGUCAAACUAGAUUGUAAAUAUUUCAGCAAAAUGUCUUCUUUAAAAAUAAAACAUUAUUUUUUUUAUUGUUCA